rnacentral:rRNA from 1 species
AGAGUUCGAUUAUGGCUCAGGACGAACGCUGGCGGUGCGCCUUAUGCAUGCAAGUCGAGCGAAGCUUUUCAGUAGUUUACUACAGAAAAUGACUGAGCGGCGAACGGGUGAGUAACGCGUGAGCAACCUACCUUAGUUACUGGGAUAGCCCGAGGAAACUCGGAUUAAUACCGGAUAUUCUUAUUUAAUCACAUGAUUUUUUAAGGAAAGGUCAGCCGAACUAAGAUGGGCUCGCGUUCUAUCAGCUAGUUGGUAGGGUAAUGGCCUACCAAGGCUACGACGGAUAGCUGGUCUGAGAGGACGAUCAGCCACACUGGGACUGAGACACGGCCCAGACUCCUACGGGAGGCUGCAGCAGGGAAUAUUGCGCAAUGAGCGAAAGCUUGACGCAGCGACACCGCGUGUGGGAUGACGGAUCUAGGUUUGUAAACCACUUUCAGGAGGGAAGAAAAUGACGGUACCUCCACAAGAAGCCCCGGCCAACUACGUGCCAGCAGCCGCGGUAAUAC